AAGUAAGGCUGACAGUGCUGCAAGCAGAGGCUGGGGGAGCUAGAGAGAGCUCUGGGCUGGUUGCUACAACCUGCAGGCUGAGGACCUGAGGUAUGGGCAGAAAAGGGUGCUGCAGCUACAUGGAAAGUGGCCCUGGGACAAUGGACUGAAGUUGCCACUGGAGGCGUGGCUGAACAGAGACUGUGGGUCCCCCGGCAGGGGGAACACAGAGUGUGGCACAGCCAGAGGGCAGUGUCACUGAAGAGGACUCUACAGUUCUGGGAGUGGCGUGGGUCCUGGAACAAAAGUGAUGGCAACAAGGCACCACCAGAGGAGGGCGCCCUGUUCCCCUUUCUGAAAUUAAAUGCUCCUGCGAUGGACUUCUUUGGUGGUCCCCGCCCCCCAGAUAUGUUAAUUUGUUAAUUUUAUGGACGCUAUUACAAAGCGGUUCAGCUAUAGUCACCUCUUGGACUGGAUUCUGUGCUCCCGUUUUUAGAACUAAAUCAAGCAAGUAGAAGCACUCGUCCAGACUCUAGGGAGAUGGGGAUAAAAAUCUCGGAGCAGAAGGAAUUAUGGUCUUUUUAUUCUGUUUGGAUUCUCAGGGGCAAAGAUUCCUAAACACAAGCAAGAGAUCUGCAGGACUAACCUGGGUUAGCCCUAAUGGACAUAUUGAGCUGGCAUAUUUCAGCAGCUCUGGCACCAUGUGAAUCCUAAGACUGCAACAUGUUUUUGUGUGUAUGGUUACUUGUUUUAACUUGGUAAAUAAUGCUUUUAUUUCUUUUUCCUGAUUAAUAAAUCCUAGUUUACUAGA